ACGCCAUUUCCUCGCCGGUAACGACUGCUUUAACCACAACACGCACCAGCUGCCCAGAUGCGAAGCGAUCCCAGGGUUCAAACUGCGAUCAGACAUGGAACAGACGUGCCUGUGAUGCCGGUUCAGCGCGGCGUAGCUGCUGAACUCAAGAAGUUCUUUGGGAUGAGGAAGUUUUGACGUGCACAAUGUGCAGAAGGCCCCUUAGGCUGCGUGAAUCGGUCAUUGUUGCAGCUUGAUUUCAUUGCUGACUUUUUGUGUACUUGCCCAGUUUCCAAGUGGGGCCCCAGUUUAUUUCUGUGCAGGAAGAGAAAUAAAUAGAUAA